UACGUAGGGGGCUAGCGUUGUCCGGAAUCAUUGGGCGUAAAGCGCGCGUAGGCGGCCAGAUAAGUCCGGUGUGAAAGCCCCGGGCUCAACCUGGGAAUUGCAUUUGAGACUGCGUAGCUAGGGUGCGGAAGAGGGAAGCGGAAUUUCCGGUGUAGUGGUGAAAUGCGUAGAUAUCGGAAGGAACACCAGUGGCGAAAGCGGCUUCCUGGUCCAGCACCGACGUUCAGGCACGAAAGCGUGGGGAGCAAACAGG
rnacentral:rRNA from 1 species